GGCUGGUCGGAAUGCAGUGGAGUUUACAAGUCAUUGAUCACAACUAGUUAUAGAUUUCUUUGUUUCUCCUCCACUCCCACAGUCUUUUUUUUUUUUGGACUAGCCAAAA
rnacentral:Y_RNA from 1 species